GUCUCUGACCACACCACCCUGAACGCACCAGCUCUCAUCUGAUCUCGGAAGCUUAGCAGGGUCGGGGCCAGGUUAGUGCUUGGAUGGGAGAAAGCAGGAUGUGGACC
rnacentral:rRNA from 1 species